rnacentral:lncRNA from 1 species
AUGUCGGACACGGUGACCUCCAGGAACCCGGUGUCCUCCUCCUCCGAGUCCCCUGCACGCGGGAACACCAAAAAACCCCAAACUGACCCCAAACUGAGCCUUCCGGGGCCGCAGGCACAGCCCGGCUCUCCCGGUGUUCCCGGUAUCCCGUGUCCAUCCAGAGCGGCCACCGGACACCGGGAUGAGCCGGGCAGGAGCGGGGAUGGACCGAAAGGGGACAGGGAGGGUCCCCAUCCCAAAAAUCUGCCGGGAAACAGCGGGAGCAGACAGCGGGAUAUGGGAAAAGGAGUCGGGAAAAGGGGUCGGGAAAAGGGAGUCGGGAAAAGGAGUCGGGAAAAGGAGACGGGAAAAGGAGACGGGAAAAGGAGACGGGAAAAGGGAUCGGGAAAAGGAGACGGGAAAAGGGAGACGGGAAAAGGAGACGGGAAAAGGGGAAGUGCCGGACUGGGGAUCAGGACAAUGCCAAUGGGAGGGGACAGGGAGGGUCCCCAUCCCAAAAAUCCGCAGGGAAACAGCAGGAACAGCGCCUCGUCCUGGCUCCAAGACAGCGGGAUAUGGGAAAAGGGGUCGGGAAAAGGGGAAGUGCCGGAGUGGGAAGUGGGACAGCGUCAAAGGGAGGGGACAGGGAACAUCCCCAUCCCAAAAAUCCGCAGGGAAACAGCAGGAACAGCACCUCGUCCUGGCUCCAAAACAGCGGGAAACGGGAAAAGGAGCCGGGAAAAGGAGCCGGGAGCGCAGGAAAAGCGGGAAGCGCUGGAGCGGGCAGCCCUUACCCGAGGCGGAAGCAGCCGAGGAGGAGGAGGGCGAGCGAGCCAAGGAAAGCUCGGGAUAAGCCAAGGAAAAUUUGGGAUGGGAGCGCGGCCGUCGCCUCCACAUGGCCCCGGCGCCAUCCCGGGGCAGAAAUCCCGGGAAAGGGAAGGGCUGGGGGAGGGAAGGAGGAAGGGAAGGGAAGGGAAGGGCCGCGGGGACCUUUUUCCUUCCCCAAUUUCGGCUCCUCCUCCCCGGGGAUGCUCUCCCGGGAUUGCCGCGCCCCAAAGCCGCGCUGGCCAUGGGGGCACGGUGGGACCCAUCCCGUGGGAAUGGCGGGAAUGGUGGCACCAAUCCCAUGGGAAUGGCGGGAAUGGCAGGACCUGUCCCAUGGGAAUGGCAAGAUUGAUCCCAUGGGAAUGGCGGGACUGA